rnacentral:rRNA from 1 species
GACGAACCGUGCGAACGUUGUUCGGAAUCACUGGGCUUAAAGGGCGCGUAGGCGGGUCAGCAAGUCCGGGGUGAAAUCUUUCAGCUUAACCGGAAAAGUGCCUUGGAUACUGCUGGUCUCGAGGGAGGUAGGGGCCUGCGGAACUUCUGGUGGAGCGGUGAAAUGCGUUGAUAUCAGGAGGAACACCGACGGCGAAGGCAGGUCUCUGGGCAUUAACUGACGCUGAGGAGCGAAAGCAUGGGGAGCGAACAGG